GUCCAGGAGCGGGAAUAGUGGACAUGGCACCUGCCCGGUAAGCAGAAGGUUGUGGGUUCGAUUCCCGCUCCUGGACA